CUAUUCUGGUGUUAGCUAGUUCGCGGACAAAACACUUAUAAUGGGGCAGUUGAAGUUUUUGAGACCCCUGCUGAAAUUAUUGGGUAAUCGUUUUGGAAUCGGAAAAGCAAGUGUUUGGCACGCGGGGAUCGUUACGUUUAUCCACUACUUCUCUUGGGGUCUUCUCACCGUGCCCUUCAUCGAAAAACUCUCGGAAUCGUUUGGAAAUCGCGUCCUUCUCGUCGAUGGACUAGUUUACGGAGUUAGAGGAAUCCUGGGAUUUCUGACCACACCUGUAAUGGGCGCCAUUUCUGAUUUCCGUGGCCGAAAAGUGGUGAUGUUGCUAGCUGUGGCCACCACUUACGCGCCAAUUCCAUUCAUGAUGUUGAAGAGCUGGUGGUUCUUCGCCAUACUCACUGUGAGCUCCGUCUGUGGGAGCACUUACUCCGCUUCAUUGGCCUAUGCGGCGGAUGUGACCAGUGUGGAGCAUCGUUCAAAAGGAUAUGGCCAUGUGGCGGCCAGUUACGGCGCUGGAAUAGCUUUUUCGCCAUCGUUGGGGAACUAUUUGAUGAAAUUGUACGGGUCUGGAUCAGUUGUUUUGAUUGCUGCCAUCACUGGCUUGAUCAAUAUCUUGUUUAUCAUGUUUGCGGUGCCAGAGAGCUUAAUUCUAAAGAGAAAAAAGGUUGUGUUGGAUGAAAUGAAUGAUAACAAGGUGGAGGACAAGGUAGUCGACAUACAGCCAAAGGAAAAGAAAGACAUGUUAAAUGGAGAAGAAGAGUUGAAAAACAAUGUUUUAGCGAGCAAACCCAACCACAGCCUCUCACAGAAUCUAGUCAGCAAUAAAGAGCAGAACCAAAAUUUCAACACAGAAGAAGAAAACGUACACAGUGAUUUAACUGAAAUGGAGAAAUAUGAUAAUACCCCCUUAAACUCCUCCGAUCUUUGGGAAGUGUUGCGUAAAAGUAGUAAGGAUAAGAACCUGCUCGUGAUAUACCUCAUAACAUUCCUGUCCAUUUGGCCCUUUGCGGGAGUGGAUUCUACUGCGCCAGUAUAUCUGAAAACUCAUUUGGGAUUUGAAUAUGAGGAGGUGUCCAUGAUGUUGGCAUUACUGUCUGUGCUGGCGAUCAUAACCAAUCUUCUUUUGGGCUAUAUUAUAAACAUAUUAGGGGGCAAGUGGUCGAUCCGACUGGGAUUAUUUCUUCUGCUAUCAGAGUUGCUCUUCUUCGGAUUUGGAACUCAUCAUUGGAUGUACUGGCUAAGCUGUAUUUUCGCCGCCUUUGCAACAAUAAUUCUUAUUGCCUGUAAUGCGGUUGCUUCCAUCUAUGCCAGUCCCGAAAAUCAAGGGGCUGUACUGGGCAUUAUUUCUGGAAUCGAGUGCUUGAGCGAGGGUUUGGGACCUGCCUUUUUCGGAGUACUCUUCUUCAUUUUCCAGGAUGAUUCGGAGAAUAAUCUCAAAGUUAACUCACCAAUUCGAAUGCCCUUCGUCAUAGGUGCCAUUAGUGUAUUUGUGGCAAUCUUUUUGAGCGGUUUCAUUCUGAAGGUUUCCCUUAAAAAGGAAGAUGCUAGAACCUCUAACAUAAACAAUCCUUGAAUGGGAUAAAAUAGGGAUAAUUAAGAUUGUAGAGAACGUAGGUUUAAGUAAAUUGUAAUUUAAAUAAUUUUUAU